rnacentral:lncRNA from 1 species
UGUUUGGUUUAGGUGUUACAGCCUCCAGUGAGGAAUGUCAGAACCAGGAACUCCUUGUCCAUUUCUGAAAAGAGAAGACUACUAAAAUAUUACAUGAAUGCCCAGAGAUCUUCAGCUAGUAGAAAUCAUUACUGCUGAGCUGACAGCAAAGGAGUGGCACUGAUUGCUACCAGCUGAGGCUUUGGGAUAGUUCAAUGUGGGGGCAGAAGGAUAGAAGGUUUCUCAUGGAGGCCUCCUUUGAGCCGAGCGAUGCACACUGCACCAGGACCAGCCGCCUUCACAGAUCUCUGUUCACCACACGCCAGCAGUCCCCAGCUGCCUGCUCUAAGUCCCCCAGGGCUGUGACUGCCUUGUGCUCUGUAGAGGAUGCCUACUUCAGGAUUGGGUAGUUUGAGAGAUGUCUCUAGGCAAAUAAUACAGUGGCCAAAACUAUUUCAACAAUUUCAGACAGCAUGGUUAAUUACUGAGGACUAAGAAGUGGCCACAGGAACAUGACAUCCUUUCUCAAGAAUGAUUUCUCAGAGGCCAAUAUGCUCUUAGGUGAUGACUUGUGUCUUACCACCUGCCUAGGGACACCCAGCUGAGUGCAGGGCAGGUGAGAUCAAACCACCUCUGCCCUGCUCUGCCUGGAGUAGGGGAGCUCACCUCUGGCUUUCUGCAUCUCAGCUGAGGGCUUUAACCACUUCAGGCCCUUGUGCGGACUCAGCAGGAGUUACCCAGGCCCCUGAGUAGGCUAGGUGCAGGGGCACCAUCCCAAAAGCAGAAAGAAAAGCCUUUUGUUUAGAAAGGCAGAUUCAGCAAGUGUUUCUGAGUGCAAAAUCACGGAAGUGGCAGCGUCUCCACAGUCCCAGCUCCUCCUGGGCCCGGUAAGGUUGUCACUUCUGCAAGGGCUGUAGGUGARCCCUCAUAUGUUUACCCCACACUGAGGCUUGUUUGUUGUAUUCAGCCUAGCUGUAGGGAACCUGGCUGAAAAUCAGUACUCCAAAUCAUGUAGGGGAAAGAUGAUUUGAAGUUAGGAAGUGUCCUUACAUUUUGGCUUCUGGGAUAUUUGGUUAAAACAAAGUAACUGGCUGUCUCAAGUUCAUCAGGUUGCUGCAAAAGCCAUCCAACUUAUCUCAGUACAAGGGAAUAAAAUUAGUUAAUUCUGGAAUUUCA